UGACGUAAGUUUCUUCUUCUCGAUUCACUCCGAAACUCAGUGUGGAUUCAACAUGGCAAACGACAACAACUUCGAGCAUCGCUUGACCGAAGUACAGAAAUACCGGCACCUCUAAGAUUCUAGCCAUGUAUAAUAUAAAAAAACAGCAUGUAAAGGCCAAUUCAUGGAGGGCGAUUUCAGAGACGCUGGGUUCCGACCCAAUCACUUGUUUGAAAAAGUGGGGUAAUGUUCGCGGCAAGUUCGUCAAUGCAAAAAAAGGAACGAGGGGCUGCAGUGGAGAUGCUGGUGGAAAGGCUACUUCAGAAAUGUUGCUGCAGCUUCCCUGGCUUGAUAGGCAUGGGAAGACGGAAAGCAACAUGCCAUCUUCACCAGAGAAUGAGGCACAAACGCCAGUGAAUGGGGACAGCACCAGGUUAUCUGCGCCCCAGCACUGCCGGUUCACCGGCCCCCAGCACAUCUCCCGCACUGAGCUGCAGUGAAGAAUGGGGAACCAUCUCCAUGCAUAACUUGGGAAACUCUAUCCUGGGCCCACCUCCAAGACCUACUUCAUUAGGUUGCCACAGAGCAGAAGCAGUAGUAGCAACAGGGGAGAAGGGAGAAAAGAGCUGCAGACUCAUAACCAACGUUCUCUAGUAAUUGUAAUAAGAAUACAUUUUACCCUAGGAGACCCAUUACAGGUGGAAACUAAUAAAGCUCUAUUUGCACGUAUGACUAGUAUUACUUGAGAACGUUGGUUAUUCAUUACCCCAAAAUGUCCGUUAAUCCAAUCUGCCACCUGUAAUAAUUUGUUUUCUUUUUCAAUAAAAUUGAAUGUUAUGAUGGAA